rnacentral:rRNA from 1 species
GCAUAUCAAUAAGCGGAGGAAAAGAAACCAACAGGGAUUGCCCUAGUAACGGCGAGUGAAGCGGCAACAGCUCAAAUUUGAAAUCUGGCUCUCUUUGGGGGUCCGAGUUGUAAUUUGCAGAGGAUGCUUUGGCAUUGGCGGCGGUCUAAGUUCCUUGGAACAGGACAUCACAGAGGGUGAGAAUCCCGUACGUGGUCGCCUGCCCUUGCCGUGUAAAGCUCCUUCGACGAGUCGAGUUGUUUGGGAAUGCAGCUCUAAAUGGGAGGUAAAUUUCUUCUAAAGCUAAAUACUGGCCAGAGACCGAUAGCGCACAAGUAGAGUGAUCGAAAGAUGAAAAGUACUUUGGAAAGAGAGUCAAAAAGCACGUGAAAUUGUUGAAAGGGAAGCGCUUGCAGCCAGACUUGCCCGCAGUUGCUCACCUAGGCUUUCGCCUGGGGCACUCUUCUGCGGGCAGGCCAGCAUCAGUUUGGGCGGUUGGAUAAAGGCCUCUGUCACGUAUCUCCCUUCGGGGUGACCUUAUAGGGGAGGCGCAAUGCAACCAGCCCGGACUGAGGUCCGCGCAUCUGCUAGGAUGCUGGCGUAAUGGCUGUAAGCGGCCCGUCUUGAAACACGGACCAAGGAGUCUAACAUCUAUGCGAGUGUUUGGGUGUCAAGCCCGAGCGCGCAAUGAAAGUGAACGGAGGUGGGAACCCUUUGGGUGCACCAUCGACCGAUCCUGAUGUCUUCGGAUGGAUUUGAGUAAGAGCAUAGCUGUUGGGACCCGAAAGAUGGUGAACUAUGCUUGAAUAGGGUGAAGCCAGAGGAAACUCUGGUGGAGGCUCGCAGCGGUUCUGACGUGCAAAUCGAUCGUCAAAUUUGGGCAUAGGGGCGAAAGACUAAUCGAACCAUCUAGUAGCUGGUUCCUGCCGA